UACGUAGGGUGCAAGCGUUAAUCGGAAUUACUGGGCGUAAAGCGUGCGCAGGCGGUUGUGUAAGACAGAUGUGAAAUCCCCGGGCUCAACCUGGGAACUGCAUUUGUGACUGCACGGCUGGAGUGCGGCAGAGGGGGGAUGGAAUUCCGCGUGUAGCAGUGAAAUGCGUAGAUAUGCGGAGGAACACCGAUGGCGAAGGCAAUCCCCUGGGCCUGCACUGACGCUCAUGCACGAAAGCGUGGGGAGCAAACAGG
rnacentral:rRNA from 1 species